GAUGAACGCUGGCGGCGUGCCUAAUACAUGCAAGUCGAGCGAACAGAUGAUGAGCUUGCUGCUCUGACGUUAGCCGCGCACGGGUGUGUAACACGUGUAUAACCUACCUAUAAGACUGGGAUCACUUCGGGACACCGGAGCUUAUACCGGAUAAUAUAUUGAACCACGUGGUUCAAUAGUGAGAGACGGUUUUGCGGUCUCUUAUAGCUGCAUCUGCGCCGCAUGAGCUAGUUGGUAAGGUAACGGCCUACCAAGGCAACGAGGCGUAGGCGACAUGAGAGGGUGGUUGGCCACACUGGAACUGAGACACGGUCCAGACGCCUACGGGAGGCAGCCGUAGGGAAUCUUCCGCAAUGGGCGAAAGCCUGACGGAGCAACGCCGCGGGAGUGAUGAAGGUCUUCGGAUCGUAAAACUCUGUUAUCAGGGAAGAACAAAUGUGUAAGUAACUAGGCACGUCUUGACGGUACCUAAUCAGAAAGCCACGGCUAACUACGUG
rnacentral:rRNA from 1 species